UACGAAGGGGGCUAGCGUUGUUCGGAAUCACUGGGCGUAAAGCGCACGUAGGCGGCUGUGCCAGUCAGGGGUGAAAUCCCGGAGCUCAACUCCGGAACUGCCUCUGAUACAGCACGUCUUGAGUUCGAGAGAGGUGGGUGGAAUUCCUAGUGUAGAGGUGAAAUUCGUAGAUAUUAGGAAGAACACCGGUGGCGAAGGCGGCCCACUGGUCCGGUACUGACGCUGAGGUGCGAAAGCGUGGGGAGCAAACAGG
rnacentral:rRNA from 1 species